rnacentral:lncRNA from 1 species
UAACCAACACAUAAACCAAAGUUUCACAUAAAUUGAAAAACAGUUAAAUGCGACGAAACCAAACGACACAUAAAAUAGAAGCAACAUAAACAUUAAAAGAACCCAUUCAGUUAGAAAUUGUAAAAUAACAUCUGCAACAUAAUACCAUCAACAUACGAUUUUCAAGCACCAAUGACCACCUACCAACUCUACUUUCAAUACCUCAGAACAACCUAAGAAACUACAACACAUAAUUUUUUCCCCAUGAUUUUCAAUUACCAACAACUACGUAGCAACUACAACACAAAAAUUUGUGAAAUGGCCUUCACUUUGAUUGAUAUCCAAACACAUCAACCACAAGAAGAUGACAUAGCAAAUCAGCAGGACACCAAUCCCAUCUAAAAGCUUCAGCAUUCUGCUCUCAGUUGGAUAUUGUUUGCCCUGUGAAGAUGGCCAUUAAUAACAGUCUUGUUCAAAACUUUGGGAUGCCGAUGAAGAAUUUUCCAUGAAGAAGUGAAUCCUGGUGUUCGUUAAUUUUGAGGAUGAUUUGGAAUCGUUUGUGGGUUUCUCAAUUGCCAUUAUGUGGUUCUGAUUAGGGAUUUGGGUUUUUUAUUUUGGAGAAGGAGAAACAUUAUUUUUGUCCAGUUCCUCACAAUUAACGGUUUGUGUUGCCACAUUGGAAUUCCAUCCUACAAAUGGAUUUUUUUAUCCAGCUAUACAGACAGAAG